AUAUCAAUAAGCGGAGGAAAAGAAACCAACAGGGAUUGCCUCAGUAACGGCGAGUGAAGCGGCAACAGCUCAAAUUUGAAAUCUGGCCCGUCCCGGGUCCGAGUUGUAAUUUGUAGAGGGUGUUUCGGGCAAGGCGGCGGUCUAGGUCCCUUGGAACAGGGCGCCACAGAGGGUGAGAGUCCCGUCUUCGACCGCCAGCCGCGUCCAUGUGAAACCCCUUCGACGAGUCGCGUUGUUUGGGAAUGCAGCGCAAAAUGGGUGGUAAAUUUCAUCUAAAGCUAAAUAUUGGCCAGAGACCGAUAGCGCACAAGUAGAGUGAUCGAAAGAUGAAAAGCACUUUGAAAAGAGAGUUAAACAGCAUGUGAAAUUGUUGAAAGGGAAGCGCUUGCAGCCAGACUUGUGGGCGGUUAUUCAGCCGUUCUCCUCGAACGGUGCAUUUCUCCGUCUCCAGGCCAGCAUCGGUUUCGGCAGCCAGUGAAAGGCUCCGGGAAUGUAUCGACCUUCCGGGGUUGACUUAUAGCCCGGGGUGCCAUGUGGCUCGCCGGGACCGAGGUACGCGCUCUGCACGGAUGCUGGCGUAAUGGCUGUAAGCGACCCGUCUUGAAACACGGACCAAGGAGUCUAACAUCUAUGCGAGUGUUCGGGUGUCAAACCCCUGCGCGUAAUGAAAGUGAACGGAGGUAGGAGCCUUCUGGGCGCACUAUCGACCGAUCCUGAUGUUCUCGGAUGGAUUUGAGUAAGAGCAUAGCUGUUGGGACCCGAAAGAUGGUGAACUAUGCGUGUAUAGGGUGAAGCCAGAGGAAACUCUGGUGGAGGCUCGCAGCGGUUCUGACGUGCAAAUCGAUCGUCAAAUACGCGUAUAGGGGCGAAAGACUAAUCGAACCAUUGAAUAAAGACCAGGUGGUUCUUCCACCCAGCCUACACAUUGUAGGUGAUGCCGUUAGCGUGGCGGGAACUCUUAACGGAGAUCCGCAGCAACGCCCCCGGGAAUGAUUGUUCGACGGGGCCUUGUCCACAGACUAUGGAGCGGCGGUUAGAGAAAUAGCCUAUCUCUAACGAAGAUAUAGCCGGAAGAAAAUCGCGAUGAAGUUUGACGCUCUCUCGAUUUUCGUAUUGCUGGUAGCUGGUUCCUGC
rnacentral:rRNA from 1 species